rnacentral:tRNA from 1 species
GGCGCCUUCGUCUAGUGGUUAGGACAGCUGGUUCUCAUCCAGCAAAUCACGGGUUCGACUCCCGUAGGCGCUACCA